rfam:Spermophilus tridecemlineatus cont1.071884, whole genome shotgun sequence.
AUUCUUUAUAUAUGUAGAGAGAUUUUAGAAGUAUAAACUCUAAAGGUCUUUUGGUAUUUAAGUGUCAACAUCGAUUAAAUGUAUUUAUUGCUGAGCUGACUGUAACCGACUCAAUAACAAAUUUAAUCAUGUAUUGCACUGGAAAAAAAAUAUUCUCAUUAUGUCUUUUCUCCAAAUAAUGACCCACCAUUGAAUACCCUGUAAAUAUCAAUAAUAUCAAGUAAUUACU